CCUACGGGAGACAGCAGUGGGGGAUAUUGCACAAUGGGGGAAACCCUGAUGCAGCGACGCCGCGUGAGUGAAGAAGUAUUUCGGUAUGUAAAGCUCUAUCAGCAGGGGAGUAAAUGACAGUACCUGAACAAGAAGCCACGGCUAACUACGUGCCAGCAGCCGCGGUAAUACGUAGGGGGCCAGCGUUAUCCGGAUUUACUGGGUGUAAAGGGAGCGUAGUCGGUUAUGUAAGUCUGGAGUGAAAGCCCGGGGCCCAACCCCGGGACUGCUUUGGAAACUGUGUAACUGGAGUACAGGAGGGGCAGGCGGAAUUCCUGGUGUAGCGGUGAAAUGCGUAGAUAUCAGGAAGAACACCGGCGGCGAAGGCGGCCUGCUAGACUGAAACUGACGUUGAGGCUCGAAAGCGUGGGGAGCAAACAGGAUUAGAUACCCGGGUAGUC
rnacentral:rRNA from 1 species